UACAGAGGGUGCAAGCGUUAAUCGGAAUUACUGGGCGUAAAGGGCGCGUAGGUUGUUAUUUAAGUGAGAUGUGAAAUCCCCGGGCUUAACCUGGGAACUGCAUCUUAUACUGGGUAACUGGAGUGCAAUAGAGGGUAGUGGAAUUUCCGGUGUAGCGGUGAAAUGCGUAGAUAUCGGAAGGAACACCAGUGGCGAAGGCGGCUACCUGGAUUGACACUGACACUGAGGCGCGAGAGCGUGGGGAGCAAACAGG
rnacentral:rRNA from 2 species